UCGCACCUACCGAUUGAAUGGUCCGGUGAAAUUUCGGGAUUGAAAUGUUGUUGGUUUAUUCUGGCAGCUCUUCGAGAACUUACUUAAACCUUAUCAUUUAGAGGAAGUAA
rnacentral:rRNA from 1 species